AUUGAACGCUGGCGGCAGGCCUAACACAUGCAAGUCGAACGAGUGGCGGACGGGUGAGUAAUGUCUGGGAAACUGCCUGAUGGAGGGGGAUAACUACUGGAAACGGUAGCUAAUACCGCAUACCAUCAGAUGUGCCCAGAUGGGAUUAGCUUGUGUGUGGGGUAACGGCUCACCAAGGCGACGCUCCCUAGCUGGUCUGAGAGGAUGACCAGCCACACUGGAACGGAGACACGCGCCAGACUCCUACGGUGGGCAGAAGUGGGGAAUAUUGCACAAUGGGCGCAAGCCUGAUGAAGCCAUGCGGCGUGUAGGAAGAAGGCCUGCGGGUUGUAAAGUACUUUCAGCGGGGAGGCGUUACCCGCAGAAGAAGCACCGGCUAACUCCGUGCCAGCAGCCGCGGUAAUUC
rnacentral:rRNA from 1 species